CGAAUAAUCUUAAGUAUAUUCACUAAAUAUUUCAACCCUUAUAUAAUUCAUAGCUUAAUCGUAGAAUAAUAAUUGACAUUUAUAUCAAUAUUACUUACCUUAAUCGUAUAUACUCAUAGAAUAAUCGUAAAUAUCAGAUAUCCAGCAGAUCAGAAGA